AAUCCCCCGGGGUUUCUCUUCCCCGCGUUGUAUAACAAACCCAUUGCCAACCUGCUUGCCUUCCGGUGGGGCUUAUGCGCGGGGAAAAGAAAACAAACCCAGCAUUGACUCCGUCCGUCGCGGCGAGUGACGCCGCGCCAGCUCAAAUUUGCAAUCUGGCUCUCGGGCCCGAGUUGUAAUAUGUAGAGGAUGCUUUGGGCGAGGUGCCUUGUGAGUUCCCUGGAACGGGACGCCAGAGAGGGUGAGAGCCCUGUAUAGUCGGACACCUAGCCUCUGUAAAGCUCCUUCGACGAGUCGAGUAGUUUGGGAAUGCUGCUCAAAAUGGGAGGUAGAUCUCUUCUAAAGCUAAAUAUAGGCCAGAGACCGAUAGCGCACAAGUAGAGUGAUCGAAAGAUGAAAAGCACUUUGAAAAAAAGGGUUAAAUAGCACGUGAAAUUGUUGAAAGGGAAGCGCUUGUGACCAGACUUGUGCCGGGCUGAUCAUCCACCGUUCUCGGUGGUGCACUCGACCCGGCUCAGGCCAGCGUCGGUUCUCGUAGGGGGAUAAAAGCUUCGGGAACGUGGCUCCUUCGGGAGUGUUAUAGCCCGCUGCUAAUACCCCUGUGGGGACCGAGGUUCGCGCUCUGCAAGGACGCUGGCAUAAUGGUCAUCAGCGACCCGUCUUGAAACACGGACCAAGGAGUCGAGGUUUUGCGCGAGUGUUUGGGUGUAAAACCCGCACGCGUAAUGAAAGUGAACGUAGGUGAGAGCUUCGGCGCAUCAUCGACCGAUCCUGAUGUUCUCGGAUGGAUUUGA
rnacentral:rRNA from 1 species